GAUGAACGCUGGCGGCGUGCCUAAUACAUGCAAGUCGAGCGAACAGACGAGGAGCUUGCUCCUCUGACGUUAGCGGCGGACGGGUGAGUAACACGUGGAUAACCUACCUAUAAGACUGGGAUAACUUCGGGAAACCGGAGCUAAUACCGGAUAAUAUAUUGAACCGCAUGGUUCAAUAGUGAAAGACGGUUUUGCUGUCACUUAUAGAUGGAUCCGCGCCGCAUUAGCUAGUUGGUAAGGUAACGGCUUACCAAGGCAACGAUGCGUAGCCGACCUGAGAGGGUGAUCGGCCACACUGGAACUGAGACACGGUCCAGACUCCUACGGGAGGCAGCAGUAGGGAAUCUUCCGCAAUGGGCGAAAGCCUGACGGAGCAACGCCGCGUGAGUGAUGAAGGACUGCGGAUCGUAAAACUCUGUUAUUAGGGAAGAACAAAUGUGUAAGUAACUAUGCACGUCUUGACGGUACCUAAGCAGAAAGCCACGGCUAACUACGU
rnacentral:rRNA from 1 species